rnacentral:rRNA from 1 species
UACGUAGGGUGCGAGCGUUGUCCGGAAUCACUGGGCGUAAAGCGCACGUAGGCGGACUUUUAAGUCAGGGGUGAAAUCCUGGAGCUCAACUCCAGAACUGCCUUUGAUACUGGAAGUCUUGAGUCCGGAAGAGGUAAGUGGAACUGCGAGUGUAGAGGUGAAAUUCGUAGAUAUUCGCAAGAACACCAGUGGCGAAGGCGGCUUACUGGCCCGGUACUGACGCUGAGGUGCGAAAGCGUGGGGAGCAAACAGG